UUGAACGCUGGCGGCAGGCCUAACACAUGCAAGUCGAACGGUAACAGGAAGCAGCUUGCUGCUUUGCUGACGAGUGGCGGACGGGUGAGUAAUGUCUGGGAAACUGCCUGAUGGAGGGGGAUAACUACUGGAAACGGUAGCUAAUACCGCAUAAUGUCGCAAGACCAAAGAGGGGGACCUUCGGGCCUCUUGCCAUCGGAUGUGCCCAGAUGGGAUUAGCUUGUUGGUGGGGUAACGGCUCACCAAGGCGACGAUCCCUAGCUGGUCUGAGAGGAUGACCAGCCACACUGGAACUGAGACACGGUCCAGACUCCUACGGGAGGCAGCAGUGGGGAAUAUUGCACAAUGGGCGCAAGCCUGAUGCAGCCAUGCCGCGUGUAUGAAGAAGGCCUUCGGGUUGUAAAGUACUUUCAGCGGGGAGGAAGGGAGUAAAGUUAAUACCUUUGCUCAUUGACGUUACCCGCAGAAGAAGCACCGGCUAACUCCGUGCCAGCAGCCGCGGUAAUACGGAGGGUGCAAGCGUUAAUCGGAAUUACUGGGCGUAAAGCGCACGCAGGCGGUUUGUUAAGUCAGAUGUGAAAUCCCCGGGCUCAACCUGGGAACUGCAUCUGAUACUGGCAAGCUUGAGUCUCGUAGAGGGGGGUAGAAUUCCAGGUGUAGCGGUGAAAUGCGUAGAGAUCUGGAGGAAUACCGGUGGCGAAGGCGGCCCCCUGGACGAAGACUGACGCUCAGGUGCGAAAGCGUGGGGAGCAAACAGGAUUAGAUACCCUGGUAGUCCACGCCGUAAACGAUGUCGACUUGGAGGUUGUGCCCUUGAGGCGUGGCUUCCGGAGCUAACGCGUUAAGUCGACCGCCUGGGGAGUACGGCCGCAAGGUUAAAACUCAAAUGAAUUGACGGGGGCCCGCACAAGCGGUGGAGCAUGUGGUUUAAUUCGAUGCAACGCGAAGAACCUUACCUGGUCUUGACAUCCACGGAAGUUUUCAGAGAUGAGAAUGUGCCUUCGGGAACCGUGAGACAGGUGCUGCAUGGCUGUCGUCAGCUCGUGUUGUGAAAUGUUGGGUUAAGUCCCGCAACGAGCGCAACCCUUAUCCUUUGUUGCCAGCGGUCCGGCCGGGAACUCAAAGGAGACUGCCAGUGAUAAACUGGAGGAAGGUGGGGAUGACGUCAAGUCAUCAUGGCCCUUACGACCAGGGCUACACACGUGCUACAAUGGCGCAUACAAAGAGAAGCGACCUCGCGAGAGCAAGCGGACCUCAUAAAGUGCGUCGUAGUCCGGAUUGGAGUCUGCAACUCGACUCCAUGAAGUCGGAAUCGCUAGUAAUCGUGGAUCAGAAUGCCACGGUGAAUACGUUCCCGGGCCUUGUACACACCGCCCGUCACACCAUGGGAGUGGGUUGCAAAAGAAGUAGGUAGCUUAACCUUCGGGAGGGCGCUUACCACUUUGUGAUUCAUGACUGGGGUG
rnacentral:rRNA from 1 species